UCCCCUGGCAAUAGGUAAAGAGACACCUUGUUGUUGUUGGUGGUGUUCUAUCAGCCAAGGGCAGGGCAGAUGGCAGUCCUUUGUUCAUCCUAACUUGAUGCCUGGCUUGGUGGUCACAGCUGUCUUAUGCCUAGGACGCAAAA